rnacentral:lncRNA from 1 species
AAUUGUAACAGGACACUUAGCAUCUUGUUAAUCUAACAGCUUCAUUGAGGCCAAUGGAAAUAACUCUUCAAUAGCCACAUUCCACUUACCUGCCCAUUGCAUAAACUGCCUUCUCAAACAUGAGGAUGCUUUGGACUCGAUCUAUCUAGCAGCAGAAAGAGCUGGAGAAUGGAGCAACAACUGUAUUAUUGAAGAGCUCCAUAGCCACAGACUGGGAAAAGCAUGAUCGGAUGUGAUUUUCAGAACAGAUGCCCAAGCAGAGUUGGCAGUUAAUUAAAAGCACUAUGUACUUAAUGAUUAACUAAUCACAGCAUGAUGGCAUUCAACGGAGAUGCAAGAAACUUCUCUGCUGGAUUCAAGAGAGAAACUCCUAAUGUCUGCCUUCAGGGAAGUAGAUGGAACAACAGGACUGGGCAGCAUCUCUGUGGUAGCAGCAGCUGUUCAGCACACUUUCCCAUUGAGACAGGUCUUUGCCCCCUCAUCACCCUAAUAACCACCUUCUGCUCACUCUGCACUCUCUCCAGUCUUCUUGCACUAACUUCCCAGUCCUCAGCAGAACAAACGAGCAGUGAGCUGCUUGGCAAAGCACAGAAGAUAAAGGUGUCAAGAAGAGAUUCAAGUCUUUGGUGUCUGCUGGAAGCAAAGAUGACUUCUGGAUCCAUGUGGCACUACUGCAGUUUUCUGGUGUCGCUGCAGACAAGAGGAGUUUGUCUGCCCUGUGGCUGCCAGCAUGUAACUCAGCAGAUCUGGGACCUUGUCCUAGGGAUUUUCACAUGGACAGUAAGGACAAGGCAGCCCAAGUAG